CUUGUAUUUUGAAGAUUGGGUGUCCAGCGGCUGACCUGUUUAGUCUAGUCAUUGUUACAUUGUGCCUUCCAUGCUGUUCUGUGCAAAACAGUGGCUGUGUAUUGUGCAGGACUACGCACAUCAACACACCUCAGAGGCCACAGCCAAGGUUUACUACAAACAGAUAACUUUGUUGUCUGUAAGACCUAAAGAAGAUGUUUUAUUAUCAAGACAGUGGUUAUUGUACAAGAGAUCAUCACAGGCAGAUUCAGUGUGUAAUGUUAUAAAGCAGAUACACAUCCUGUGCUGCAGCAGAGCAAUUAUCUAGUCACACAAGGUCCUAUACUUUUGUCUAGUCAUAUGUAGAACAGUUAGAUACAUGUACUAACCUAAGUAUUGUUUAUAAAUAAGUACCUGAAGAGUGUAUGCACUCACCCUUCUACAUGUACUAACACCUUCACGGAGAACUUGCAGUAGUUUUAUAUAACAACAUAACGGUGCUCCACAUCAGGUCUGGAGAAGUAGUUACAUGGGACAGUUUUAUAUAACAACAUAACGGUGCUCCACAUCAGGUCUGGAGAAGUAGUUACAUGGGACAGUUUUAUAUAACAACAUAACGGUGCUCCACAUCAGGUCUGGAGAAGUAGUUACAUGGAACAGUUUUAUAUAACAACAUACAGGUGCUCCACAUCAGGUCUGGAGAAGUAGUUACAUGGGACAGUUUUAUAUAACAACAUAACGGUGCUCCACAUCAGGUCUGGAGAAGUAGUUACAUGGGACAGUUUUAUAUAACAACAUAACGGUGCUCCACAUCAGGUCUGGAGAAGUAGUUACAUGGGACAGUUUUAUAUAACAACAUACAGGUGCUCCACAUCAGGUCUGGAGAAGUAGUUACAUGGGACAGUUUUAUAUAACAACAUAACGGUGCUCCACAUCAGGUCUGGAGAAGUAGUUACAUGGGACAGUUUUAUAUAACAACAUACAGGUGCUCCACAUCAGGUCUGGAGAAGUAGUUACAUGGGACAGUUUACAGCCAAUACAUCAGGUUUGUCAGCUCCCAAACCAAACACAGAACACAACAAAAUUCCUUGUAGCUCCAGUGUUUGGCGUGGAUAUAAAAAGGAGGAGGGAAUUUUAGGAGACUUUAUAGUAAAUCUCUUUAUUAGUACCUGGUAUUGAGUAUAAUUAACGGAUCAUUGUGGGGAAUAUGGUUUGGUUUGGGCGCUGACAGUGACUGUGUUGGACUGUCGACCUGGCCAAUAGACAGUAACAUCUGUAAGGCAAACAAACCCUUCACAAGUGACUGUUAUCUAACCCAUGACAGUUUACUUUUUAUAUAUGUCAGGAAGUGGUGAGCAAGCAUUAUUAAGUACUACAAAAUCAUAACACAAAAGGCCAAAGAAAGUGUUCAUUCAAUUCAACAUGGAGAUAUUAAAAGUAAAACCGGUUAAAUAGGUGACGAAAUAUAUCACCUUGAGGAAUGCCUCCUCUACCAGCCAAAACCUGCUGCAGCAUUCAUCAACCAUUACAUUUACUUGCUUACAUUACAUUUACCAUCAACAUUUACAUUUUCUGGCUGCUGGAAAGUCACCAUAAUCAGAAACACGGCCACCAACACACCGUGACUUAACUUAACACAGGCAACACGCUGUAACACAAGGCUAAGUAACAGUCCGGUGCACUAAGGUCACUAUUCUCAAACACAUCCUUCUCUUACCUCAGUCAUUUCUAAAGGCCAAGGAAGAGGUUAAACACGUCAUCUUGAGUGUUU